GUACAGUUGAAGAGUCCCAAACUAGGACGAAACGGCUGUCAAGUAC
rnacentral:hammerhead_ribozyme from 1 species